AAAAAUAUAUCAAGAACAAAACAACAACAAAAUUAACUCAAGGAGCAUCAUAAAAAAGUUUGUUUUGCUGGCUAACAGCAGCGAAGGUACAAAGCUUUCUUCGUUAGGGUUUGCUAUUUAAACCAUCAGCUCAUUCUGCAAGAACAUCAAACAUGUGUCUACCAGAUGCUGGGCAACAGCGCGAUACUAAGGACUUGACUCAAGUGAACAAUAAUCUGUGGACAGCGGGUGUGAACCCGAGCUGGGCCAACACCUCAUCAGACCGAAUGGCUAAUUGAUUUCAAAAUUAGACUCGGUAUUUCUGAACAAUAAUCUUGAAAGGCAGCAAUAAAAUACAUCAGGAUCCUUUGAGCUGGCCAAGCUUUCAUCCAAAUGGCUUAUUACAAAGAGCUGGCACACCUGAACUUUGGCACAGUCAAAUAAAUCCAAAAACAGCAAAUGGAAACCACAUUUGGCACUGGAGGUUUGUCAAGAAAAAUUUGUAUUCAUGAGGAAACAUGAUUUUUGAUUUUGAAAUUAUUUGGGGGUUAUCGGUGGGAAGUAAUUCAUUGAAUAUGUAUUUGACUCUGACAGCUAUGAUUUAUGCAACAAAAUAUGCACAAUAGGUAUGUGAAGGCUUUUGAGAAUCACAUAAUCUUUGGAACACCAGGAUCAGCCAGGGCACAGCAAGGGUUAGUGUAGCUCCAUUGGUGAUAACUUAAUCGCAUGUGUAGGCCUACCCCUUUGAACUCUGAAUAACUGCUUUGUGGCAUCAGGGUCCACAAGGGUUUAAAUCUGACUGCACUGCAAUGACAAUAAAUUAUACCAACUAUUUAAGAAAUGCUUGGAAUCUUAUCUUGCCUUCAGAGUGAGCAAACUAAGAUUACAAUUCCUGGCUUAAAACAUGGCAUAAAUUCUGAGAACAAACACGGAAAAUUUACACAAUGGCAAGAGUGUAUUUCACUACUCUUCU
rnacentral:lncRNA from 10 species